UGCAGCUGGCCCUUUUGGGCAUGUGCUCGCCUUCAUCAUAUUUAUAUUUCCACCUGUGCACCUUCUGUAGACAAGAAAGAAAAAGGGAUUUAUUGUGGUGUCAUUCUGGCCCCGUUUAUUCUUUGUGUAUUUCUUGUCUAUGUUUUUUUAUAUACCCCAAAAAAUGUAACAGAAUGUUAAUCUAUGGGCCUUUGUGCCUAUAAACAAAAAAUUAUACAACUUUCAGCAACGGAUCUCUUGGCUCUCGCAUCGAUGAAGAACGCAGCGAAAUGCGAUAAGUAAUGUGAAUUGCAGAAUUCAGUGAAUCAUCGAAUCUUUGAACGCACCUUGCGCUCCUUGGUAUUCCGAGGAGCAUGCCUGUUUGAGUGUCAUUAAAUUCUCAAAAAAAGAACCUUUGGUAGUAUUAUCAAUGGCUUUUUCUUUGGAUGUGAGGGUUUUAUUGUUGGCGAAAGUCAACUCCCUUGAAAUGAAUUAGCUUGGUUGACAAGACUUUGUCUAUUGGUGUGAUAAUUAUCUACGCCAUUGGAUUGUCUGUUUGUUGAACUGCUUCUAAUUGUCCCUUUUGGGA
rnacentral:rRNA from 1 species